rnacentral:rRNA from 1 species
AUUGAACGCUGGCGGCAUGCUUUACACAUGCAAGUCGAACGGCAGCGCGGGGGCAACCCUGGCGGCGAGUGGCGAACGGGUGAGUAAUGCAUCGGAACGUAUCCUGUAAUGGGGGAUAACGUAGCGAAAGUUACGCUAAUACCGCAUACGCUCGAGAGAGGAAAGUGGGGGAUCGCAAGACCUCACGUUAUAGGAGCGGCCGAUGUCCGAUUAGCUAGUUGGUGGGGUAAAGGCCUACCAAGGCGACGAUCUAUAGCUGGUCUGAGAGGAUGAUCAGCCACACUGGGACUGAGACACGGCCCAGACUCCUACGGGAGGCAGCAGUGGGGAAUAUUGGACAAUGGGCGAAAGCCUGAUCCAGCAAUACCGCGUGAGUGAUGAAGGCCUUAGGGUUGUAAAGCCCUUUUAGUAGGGAAGAUAAUGACGGUACCUACAGAAAAGACCCCGGCUAACCUCCGUGCCAGCAGCCGCGGUAAAGUCGUCCAUGU